rnacentral:sRNA from 1 species
AGACUAAAGUAUUAAUUGCUUCUGUCCCACU